UACGUAGGGUGCAAGCGUUGUCCGGAAUUAUUGGGCGUAAAGAGCGUGUAGGCGGCCCGAUUAGUCCGCUGUGAAAGUCCAGGGCUCAACCCUGGAAUGCCCGGUGGAUACUGUCGGGCUAGAGUCCGGAAGGGGCGAGUGGAAAUUCCUGGUGUAGCGGUGAAAUGCGCAGAUAUCAGGAAGAACACCGGUGGCGAAGGCGGCUCUCUGGGCCUUACCUGACGCUGAGGAGCGAAAGCGUGGGUAGCGAACAGG
rnacentral:rRNA from 1 species